ACCACCAAAACACACAUCCUUCAUCGCACCGCCCGUGACGAAAUUCUCCACAGAUUGUCUAAAUGACUCACAUUCCGAUCACUUCCACAUCCUUCAACCAUGUUGUUAAUAUCGUUCCAGAUCCUGCACGGAUCCAUUAGCCGAGCUGCAGCAGUUAAUACUACGCCCUGCACCUACAUCGAUGGCUUUUACCCACUUGAGAGGCCCAGGCUCUAAUGCAGUAAUACGAUAGGCCUAGCUGAAACCCGUAAUAUCUGAUAACAGAGAUGAACCUGUGGGGUAAAUGACUAACGCACUUGACGGAUGCUGUGGUGAGCAACGCGUCUGUAAUUCUCACAUUUAGCGGUGUAGAUUUCUGUCUUGCAGCCGUAUCGUGUCACCACUUAUGUAGAGAAAGCUGGAGGGAAGGACCAAGAACAGAUCGCUGAUCUAGGUGGAAAUCAUGAAGCAGAUGUCCUUUUCCUACAUUUGUGUUGUAAAGCAGUGGUGGGUGGUGACCAAACAAUGGCUACUGGGGUAGAGACAACAGGGAAGAAUGCUAAAAGUUAACCAUAAUGGGCUUCUGAGUGUUUUGGAUUUCAACAUGGACAGGACGUGUAACUUGCCCUCUCAUUCCUAAAAAAAACAUGAACAAAACUAUUCAAGAUAAUAAAAAGAUGAUGUGAUGCGAAAGUGACAAAGCUUGUAAUUAACCAAUAAUUACAUAUCUAUACAAGUUUAAUUGUCAAGAACAUUUUUGUUACCUUUGUAAGGCAAUGAAUUUUGGUUCUGUAUUAGAUUUCUAUCUAUAGUAUGCAUCCCGAAACAAACUGAAAACUGCUGAGCAAACAUUUGUGAACGACAAACAGGAAGAAAAAAAGCAGACUGGUUAGCUCUAUUGACAGGUGGCUCUAAAAGACAUGCCGGGUCUUUCAAAAUCCGAUUCAAUUUGCUAAAGGAUCGAUUUCCACAGGAAGUCAUCCCACACAUCUCACUGUACCACUUCCUGUUAGGGGGCUGUGACAAAGGAAGUAACUCGGUUUCACAUGAACAAAACUAUUUCACAACAAACACUGAUAUUGAUCUGAACAGUGAUGUAGGAGUAGGUUGCAUAAUCAUCUCAGCUUUAGAUUCAGCUUUCUCUGAAAAGGUUGUCACUUAAAAUUGACUGCACAACAAAGUGGAUAGUCUCUGGUCUGCAUUAUAUCUCUGGACAGGAGAGGCAUGCUGACGCCCUCUCGAGAACAUUUCAUUUUAACCGGGACAAGAGGUCUCCUUUGAACUUUGCUCUGGGGUCAUGCCUGUCUCUCACAAACACUGGUGUCCUAUGGGGAUAAUUACUACAACAGACGUCUCAGCAGCCGUGGAAACAAUCAAGAGCUCAGUCCUGAUUGGUCGAAAGGCGUCUCUGUAGUGGUCAUAUGCCGAACUGUGACCUGUAGAAAAUGAAUUGUGAUGCAAUUAAUGGUGUCAUUCUGAAGUUGGUAUGAAUGUGUUUUUUUAAAUCUACUCUGAAACGUACCAGUAAGUUAAUAACUGUUAUAUAAGGGAAAUUCUAUCUUCUUGUUCAUUAAUUACAGGAUUAAAAAAAAAAAGUACAUUAGACGUCAUCUGCUUUGCUCUUUAUGUGGUGUAAAUUUUCUUAGAUGGGAACCAGUAACAGUGGUGAAACAUUUUUAGGAAAAUAAAUAUAUAUAUAAUUAAUAAUAAUAAAUAAGGCUCAGAAGUGAUUGCAAUGUCACAUUUGAUCAUAAAAUAUAAACUCUU